UGAAUUUAAGCAUAUAAGUAAGCGGAGGACAAGAAACUAAACAGGAUCCCCAUAGUAAUGGCGAAUGAACCGGGAUAAACUCAGCAUGGAAAUUGGGGCCUUUGGCUUUGACUUGUAAUCUGGUGAGGCAUUGCCAACAGAGGCGCAUAUGUAAGUCUCUUGGAAAAGAGCAUCAACGAAGGUGAGAGUCCUGAUUGUCAUGUGCAGCCCCCCUGUGCACGGUGUGCCUUCUAAGAGUCACGUUCCUUGGGAUUGGAGCGCAAAUUGGGUGGUAACUUUCAUCUGAAGUUAAACAAUGGUUUGGGACCGAUAGGAAACAAGUACCAUGAGGGAAAGGUGAAAAGGACUUUGGAAAGAGAGUUAAAAGUGCCUGAAAUUGCUGAAGGGGAAGCGAAUGGAACCAGUGGUGCUGGGUGAGAUUGUCACAUGCUGCAAGGAUUGGUUGCUGCCACAACGCAAGUGUGCUGGCAAUUUGUGAACUGCUAGUGUGUGGUGUGUCUUACCUAGUGGGUCAUUGUGGGUUUAUGCAUUAAGAUAAAUCAAAGCAAGCGGGAGCAAGUUUACGAGUUUGUGAAUGUGUGUUGUUAUGCUUGUGCGUAAGCUUUAGUGUUUGUCUGGCUGCAGGGCUGUCCAUCCUCAAGCUUUGCUGUGGUUGCGAUGAGCAUAACCUUCUGCACAGAUCUUGACGAAAUGGUUUCAUUCGACCCGUCUUGAAACACGGACCAAGGAGUCUAGCAUAUGUGCAUGCGCAUGGGCUUUACACCUGUGUGUGCAACGAAAGUGACUGCUGGGAUAAGUGCGCCAGCAACCGACCAAUUGAUUGAGAAAGGUUUGAGUAUCAGCAUAUGUGUUAGGACCCGAAAGAUGGUGAACUAUGCUUGAGAAGGGCAAACUCAGGGGAAACUCUGAUGGAGGCUCGUAGCGGUACUGACGUGCAAAUCGUUCGUCAUACUUGGGUAUA
rnacentral:rRNA from 1 species